rnacentral:rRNA from 1 species
GACGAACGCUGGCGGCGUGCUUAACACAUGCAAGUCGAACGGAAAGGCCUCUUUCGGGGGGUACUCGAGUGGCGAACGGGUGAGUAACACGUGAGUAACCUGCCCUUGACUUUGGGAUAACUUCAGGAAACUGGGGCUAAUACCGGAUAGGAGCUCCUGCUGCAUGGUGGGGGUUGGAAAGUUUCGGCGGUUGGGGAUGGACUCGCGGCUUAUCAGCUUGUUGGUGGGGUAGUGGCUUACCAAGGCUUUGACGGGUAGCCGGCCUGGGAGGGUGACCGGCCACAUUGGGACUGGGAUACGGCCCAGACUCCUACGGGGGGCAGCAGUGGGGAAUAUUGCACAAUGGGUGGAAGCCUGAUGCAGCAACGCCGUGUGCGGGAUGACGGCCUUCGGGUUGUAAACCGCUUUCGCUCAUGACGAAGCUUUGUGUGACGGUAGUGGGUAAAGAAGCACCGGCUAACUACGUG